UACGUAGGGGGCAAGCGUUGUCCGGAAUUAUUGGGCGUAAAGCGCGCGCAGGCGGCUAUUUAAGUCUGGUGUUUAAACCUUGGGCUAAACCUGAGGUCGCACUGGAAACUGGGUGGCUUGAGUACAGAAGAGGAAAGUGGAAUUCCACGUGUAGCGGUGAAAUGCGUAGAUAUGUGGAGGAACACCAGUGGCGAAGGCGACUUUCUGGGCUGUAACUGACGCUGAGGCGCGAAAGCGUGGGGAGCAAACAGG
rnacentral:rRNA from 1 species